GGAUGUGAGGGUUAUCUGGCUGUAACAUCUGUCACCCCGUGAUAACCAGGGUUGACUCAGCUGGUCUGGCUGGCGAGGCGAGUGUCCACUUCCUCCCUCACUGCUCCGUGUGCAUCCCUCCGGAAGCUGUGCGUUUGGUUGAGGAGGGUGAUAUUCCCCAAAAGAUGAGCAGCUGGGUUCCCCUGCUAGAACCUCCAAACAAGCUCUCAAAAUUCCCCCUCAUCUUUGAAGCACCAACUCAAAUACUUUUUCUUCUGUGAAGCCUUUUUAAAUGCCUCAAUACAGAUUUAGUGACUUUUU
rfam:Nomascus leucogenys chromosome 19, whole genome shotgun sequence.